rnacentral:rRNA from 1 species
AACCUACGGGAGGUAGCAGUGGGGAAUAUUGCACAAUGGGGGAAACCCUGAUGCAGCGACGCCGCGUGAGUGAAGAAGUAUUUCGGUAUGUAAAGCUCUAUCAGCAGGGAAGAAAAUGACGGUACCUGACUAAGAAGCCCCGGCUAACUACGUGCCAGCAGCCGCGGUAAUACGUAGGGGGCAAGCGUUAUCCGGAUUUACUGGGUGUAAAGGGAGCGUAGACGGCGAUGCAAGUCUGAAGUGAAAGGCGGGGGCCCAACCCCCGGACUGCUUUGGAAACUGGAUAGCUGGAGUGCAGGAG